rnacentral:rRNA from 1 species
UACGAAGGGGGCUAGCGUUGUUCGGAAUUACUGGGCGUAAAGCGCGCGUAGGCGGUUUUCCAAGUCGGGCGUGAAAGCCCCGGGCUCAACCCGGGAAAUGCGCUCGAAACUUGAAGACUGGAGGCCGGAAGAGGGUAGUGGAAUUCCCAGUGUAGAGGUGAAAUUCGUAGAUAUUCGCAAGAACACCAGUGGCGAAGGCGGCUCACUGGCCCGAUACUGACGCUGAGGCACGAAAGCGUGGGGAGCAAACAGG